rnacentral:misc_RNA from 1 species
AACUUUUGGCAAUGGAUCUCUUGGCGUGCCUGCGUCGGGUCGAGGCCCGCGGCAAGCUGGGGACCGCGCAUCGGGCGCUCCAGGUCUGCGGAAGGGUUUUUCGAUAUGCGGUGGCGACCGGCCGCGCCGAGCACGAUCCGUCCGGUGAUCUGCGAGGGGCACUGCCGCCGAAACAAGAGAAGCAUCACGCGUCCUUCACCGAUCCGACCAGCCUCGCAGGAUUGCUGCGUGCGAUCGACUCGUACGACGGAUCGAACGUGGUGCGUCAAGCGCUGCGCCUGGCGCCGAUGGUAUUUGUCCGGCCGGGCGAGCUGCGCGCCGCCGAGUGGAAGGAGUUCAACCUCGCUACCGGCGAGUGGCGUAUCGGCGCCGAGCGGAUGAAAAUGCGCGUCAAGCAUAUCAAUAAGCGGAGGCU